rnacentral:rRNA from 1 species
AUUGAACGCUGGCGGCAGGCUUAACACAUGCAAGUCGAGCGGGGUGAUGGUGCUUGCACUAUCACUUAGCGGCGGACGGGUGAGUAAUGCUUAGGAAUCUGCCUAUUAGUGGGGGACAACAUUUCGAAAGGAAUGCUAAUACCGCAUACGUCCUACGGGAGAAAGCAGGGGAUCUUCGGACCUUGCGCUAAUAGAUGAGCCUAAGUCGGAUUAGCUAGUUGGUGGGGUAAAGGCCUACCAAGGCGACGAUCUGUAGCGGGUCUGAGAGGAUGAUCCGCCACACUGGGACUGAGACACGGCCCAGACUCCUACGGGAGGCAGCAGUGAGGAAUAUUGGACAAUGGGGGGAACCCUGAUCCAGCCAUGCCGCGUGUGUGAAGAAGGCCUUAUGGUUGUAAAGCACUUUAAGCGAGGAGGAGGCUCUUUUGGUUAAUACCCAAGAUGAGUGGACGUUACUCGCAGAAUAAGCACCGGCUAACUCUGUGCCAGCCGCCGCAGUAA